GCGUGGCGUGAGAUGGGUCCAGGGGUGGGACUGCUCCAGGGGUGAAACGGGGCUUGACACGGGCCGUGGCAAGGGGCAAAUGGGAGGUGGAGCAACACUGGGCUAGGGGCGGAACUGGGGGAGGGACAGGAUGAGGAAAGGACCUGGCGAGGGUCCCGGCUCCUCCUCUGAGUUAGGGCCCACCGGAGCUGAGGGCGAAGGCCAUCGCUAGGCUGUGAUGAGCUUUAGGGCUGGGGUCAGAUCUUUGGGCCUGGCUGAGUGAACAGGCACAGCACUCGGAAUCUGCACGGGGUCCACCCGGUGUUGCCUUGCGCGCUUGGGAUGGAGACCCCACACUGAACCCGGAUGAGGGAGCUGCUUAUGAGCUGCUGCUGCUGUUGUUGUGGCUGUGGCUGAUCCUGCUGCUCCUGCUGCUCCUGCUGCUCCUGGGGCAGGUGAGCCGCAUCCAUCUAGAGUGUCACUUUCAUCUGUAAAUAAAGAAGAGAAAAAAACGUGCACGGCUUCAGCGCUCCCAAACAGAAAGCACACAGGACCGGCUAGGAUACAGGGAGGUGGAGGAUUGGGCUGCCUGGUAGCCACAAGCCGCAGUUCACCCAGUGACCCACUGGAAGGGAAGAGGUCAAGGGAACGAUAUGGACCGAGCCUGUGCACUUAGCUGUCCACAGACCCUAUCUGUGACUAUAAUUUCCCUCACUGUUGGACUCACAAUGCAGGACUGUUCUCACUCCAGGAGGCAUCAUCUGGGACUCCCCACAGAGAAGUGGGCCAUGGAUUCUAAAGACUUGGGACACUGAAGG